GUCGAGUGCAACGAGGCUGCGAUCUUUUGAUCUUGAUUUUAAAAAGACGAGAUCAAAAGAUCGCAGCCUCGUUGCACUCGAC
rnacentral:misc_RNA from 1 species